UCCGGUUUGUCACCGGCAGUCUGGCGUGAGUCCCCAACUUAAUGCUGGCAACACGCCACGGGGGUUGCGCUCGUUGCGGGACUUAACCCAACACCUCACGGCACGAGCUGACGACAGCCAUGCAGCACCUGUGUCGGCUCCUCUUGCGAGGUCGGUCCCCUUUCGGUUCCCUACCACCGACAUGUCAAACCCAGGUAAGGUUUUUCGCGUUGCGUCGAAUUAAACCACAUGCUCCGCUGCUUGUGCGGGUCCCCGUCAAUUCCUUUGAGUUUUAGCCUUGCGGCCGUACUCCCCAGGCGGGGCACUUAAUGCGUUAGCGUCGACACGGAGGGAGUCGACACCCCCCACACCUAGUGCCCAUCGUUUACGGCGUGGACUAC
rnacentral:misc_RNA from 1 species